UACUGGUCAUAUGUCAUCAUUCAGUCUCAGCUGACGCUAGGGACUUCAUAUGUGACCCCGUCAGCUCCAUUAUUGAAUGCGGUAACGAUCAUUAUGCGACAAGAGUAGGAUCAGUAUUUUCUUGGUCCUCCGAUGCCAUCGACGGUUGCUGAUGAUCAUCCGACACGUGAUGUGUAUAGUAGGCGUCGACUGAGUUAUGGCUCAUCAUCGAGGGAUGUUGAGGAUCUUUCAUAGGGUUAGUUAUUUUGUAUUGUCACACCU
rnacentral:lncRNA from 1 species